AAUAUGCUGACAAUUGCAGAAAAUAUCGAAUUUUUACAAUACCCUUGUAAGAUUUUCUCAUUUUAUAAUAUUUUUCAUAAACGGUCAUUUUCUUGGUGUUUAUUCAGCGGCUGAUGUAGUGACCCUAUUAAAAAAAAGCAAAAUCGGUCAAUUGGAUGCAGAAUGACCACGCACGGUGCAUUCUGAUGCGCUGAAAAAAUACACACAGUACGCGGGAGAGACAAAGCCGCACAUUUCGCGCGCCCGAAGCUGCGAGAAGAUGCGAGCACGUGGGCACGCACAUAUUGGGGCAUGCAUUUCGCAUUGCUCACACUCGCUCCCGACGACGACGACGGCGGCGACGACGAGGACGACAAGGACGACGAGGACGACGACGACGACGACGACGUUUCGCACACCGACCGCACGACGCAAAUGCACGGGGUUCAAAGGCAAACGCGGUCAUUACGCUCAGCUGCGCGACAAAUUAAACGGACAAAGGUCCGCGUACUUGACUUUGAAUUCCGCCACCGACUACUACGAAAACGAUCAUCAAUGGUGCACUUUAAACGCUCGCACACACACCCUGCCUUUUCCCUCUGUUUCUCUUUCUCUGUCUCUCUCUCUCGCUCUCCUUUCUUUUCGCAACCCGUUCCCUUGCGGCUGGCUUUGUCCGCCGCCGCAUGAAAGCGCGUAGCGCUGAUUAUUUUCGAUUAACGUUUUGAUUUGGUCGUUCAACCGGUGUUGUUUGAAAACUACAAUAAAUUUUCCAAGUAACCUACAGAGGAAAAAAUGGUUAGUAUUUUUAGCUAAAUGACGUAGUAAAAUAAUUAUGAUUGAGAGAGAGAGGUCCAUUUUUAUAAUUCAUUACUAUAAUGUUAGCAAUAAUUGUGACAAGAGUUCUAUCUACUAUGAAAUAAUUUUAUUGUAUUUAAUUUUAAAUAUUAGUAAUAGUAGAAUAUCAAGAUAUGGAUAGCGAAAAUAAAAGAAACAUUUUUAUGUA